rnacentral:rRNA from 1 species
UACGUAGGGUGCAAGCGUUGUCCGGAAUUAUUGGGCGUAAAGAGCUUGUAGGCGGUUUGUCGCGUCUGCUGUGAAAUUUCGGGGCUCAACCCCGAACUUGCAGUGGGUACGGGCAGACUAGAGUGUGGUAGGGGAGCGGGGAAUUCCUGGUGUAGCGGUGAAAUGCGCAGAUAUCAGGAGGAACACCAGUGGCGAAGGCGCCGCUCUGGGCCGUGACUGACGCUGAGGAGCGAAAGCGUGGGGUAGCAAACAGG